AUAAAAAUAUUGAUCUACAUGUUAAUUUAUAGUGAUUUACCAUUCCAAAUAUGUAUUAUUUAUAGAGUCACAAAAUCUACCAAUUAAUGCAUGGGUUUUACAUAUUUCCUGGAUUCACAGUGAAUUGGAUGUUGGCAAAAAUUCCCAACUCUCUCAAUCGAUGAGGAGGGGGGCAAGGAAUCCUCAUAGAAUCAUCCUGCAAUAUAGGAAUCAAACUACCAGGUGGUCUCUCAAAAAUUGUCAAUCCCAAUUGAUGGUCUUCAAAACGAGGGGCUAGCCAAUUAGCACAUGAGGAAUUUGGCAAUGCCAAUCAUGCUUCAUUAGAUUCACGCAACAGUCAGUAAGAGCACUAUUAGGAUCCAGAGCAGUUGUGGCUCCUCAGAUACUCUUCUCCCACAGAAGACUCAAACUCCACUAGGAUUAUUUUCCUAAAUCCUUUAUUCCAGGCUAGCAUUGAGCCCUGAAAUAGAGCCCACAAAUUACCCAAGUUGAGGGUAUAGUCCCCUGCAACCCAUUUGCCAAUUCGUCUCGUAGAGUUCCACCGGCUCCAGCAACACCUGAUUUUUCCUUUGACUUCCCAGUCACAUUCAAAUUGACUCAAUCUGUUCGGGGAGGGCUCCAACAUGCUGCUCUGUAUGGUUCACCUGGUAACUUGGUAGUCAAUUCAUUGCUGAAAUUCUGUUGAUCAAAUUCAAAGUUUUUGUGCUUCAGUUUUAGCCUCCACUGGGCAAGAUUGAGAACAUCCAUCUACUGUCACCCUCUGAAGAGUGAAACCAAAGUUUCCCAUUUGGGAUUCCUACGUAAAUCUGGCCUUAAAUGAUGGGUUUCUGAAUUUAUGCUUCGACAGCUCUUCAAAACCGAGGAGAAUAUCAGCAUUAUCUCCACAUACAUCACAAGUUUUUACCUGCUUUAAAAGCUUCUUCACUAGAAAUAAAUUUUACUUUCCCAGUCCCAAGAGGGGUUUUCCUUUGAAGAUGUACCAACCUACUUGAAUUCCCAGGAAGCCUGCCAGCAGACUAAGAUUGCAUAUUAUCAAUGUGGACCAUCUCUGAGUUGUGUGGCAUUAAAACCUUAGGAAACUGUUCUGUAAAAGAUUGUUGCGACUCCUUGUCUUCACUAGAUCGACAUACUUCACAGAUCCAAAUUUUUGGGAUAGUCAAGAGGAGGACUGGCAUGCAAUAGAUAUGUUCCCGAGUUAUUUUGCAUCGAAAGCACGUUACAAUCUUCUCCAGAAAACCAACAUCUCCACAUACAUGACAAGUUUUGACCGGUUGGGAAUUUCUUGAAUCUCCCAUAGGUUGCUUUCUACAUAAAUAAGCAUAUAUAAGUAAUGCAACAAAGAGAACCGAAACGAUCUCUUUUCUUGCUUUGGCGGGAGUGAAUGGAUGGUGGGGGUCUCUAAUGUCGCCCACAAUUGAAGGAUGAACGGAACUGUGUGGUAAAAGGUCGAAAGGACCCACAAUUCACAAAGACCGAGAGAGAAUGCCCGAAAAGGGAGAGGAGAGGAACGAUAAAGUAAACCAAAGGAAAUGUUAUUUCAUCGGUGUGGCAACCAAAACUCUAUAACUGUGAUUACAGGUGGGUGGAACUGGGAGGGAUUAGGCUUAAAGGGCGG
rnacentral:misc_RNA from 1 species